GCCGAGGUAGCUCAGCUGGUUAGAGCGGAGGAUUCAUAACCCUCAGGUCGGCAGUUCAAGUCUGCCCCCCGGCAC
rnacentral:tRNA from 1 species